AGUCCAUUCAUCGAUCAUCUGUUGUAUGGCGAGAUCGUACUACUGGAGAAAUAUCUUACAGACGUCGAGAGGCAGUUCUCCAGAGCACUAUCCCACUCCACCCUCGAAUACUACCACUACUACACACAUCUAAAUUCUAUGGGGUUGCCAGAUUAGGAUUUAUUCAGUUGAACUGACAUCUAAUCACAGCCUUGGUCGAGAGAUUGAGGCCCGAUACGCAUAGUCUGUUGGAGAGUGCACUAUCACUCUACAAAGACAUAGAACUGUUGUUGGGGUUACCUGCUGACGGUGAGUCGAUCGCCGGAGUGAUGUACGAUAACUAGUUAGAAGUUUGUCAACUGUACCUCAGUGCGACCCCACCCGUCGACAAGAUUAAAGGAUCGAGGUUAAGUUUAAUAUGGUUAGGAACACAAUUUCGUGAGCUCACAGAUGAUGCAGACGACCGUCAUAAGAUAUUCGUGGGGUAGAGCAUGUUUGGCAUGAUUGUAUAGACAACUAUGCAAAGCAACAAGACCUGAGGUUCGAGAGAUAGUUGGACCUCUCAUACUUUUGCAAUUAUGGGCUUGGGAGUGAUUUCUAACAAUGGCUCCACAACUACAACAUGUUAAUGACGCUCAGUUAGUUGGAUGAGCCUACGGUUCUCGGUGGAAAGACAAAUUUUGUGUGACUAGGACAGCCACACAUGUAGUCAGCCAGUAUAGAUACAUGUUUGAUUUGCUUCAACUUGAACAGGUUAUUUGAGACCCGUACAAAAUUAUUAGGCAUACUUUGCCUAAUUUUUG